GGGGCUGUGGCUCAGUGGUAGAGCACUUGCCUAGCAUGUGUGAGGCACUCGGUUCAAUUCUCAGCACCA
rfam:Ictidomys tridecemlineatus contig037936, whole genome shotgun sequence.